GAAAUUUUGAGAAGCUUGUCCUGAUAGAGAUGGGAAAGUCUCGUCUUCAAUCUAUCUUGAUCAGCUUCAUUCUUCUCCCCUGCCAGCGCCUUAUGCAGAAUAUGGUCAGCAGUUGCAUAAAGUAACAGCCGCUGCACACUAUCAUCUUCAGGAAGCUCUAAUCCUUCUUCAGAGGCAAGUUGAUUCCAGGCAUCCAACAUCAGAGCUCGAGAAUCUGCCACCACAUUAUCCCAAGAGAAAAUCAGGCCAUAAGCUUCAUCAGGCUUCAUCGCAUAACGGAUUCUUCGCAGGAAACCCUCUUGCAGUCUAUCAUUUAAAAAAUCCACAUCAACUUUGAGCAGUCCAUUGGGUCUAAAUGUCUCGAAACCUUCUCCGUAUUCAGCACCAAUUGCCUCUUCCAUAAAAAUCUUGUUAGGUGUAGCUGUAAAAUGUUCAAAGUCACCAUUAUCGCCGGUCCCCAAGACCUUUGCAAUCACCAAGCGUGGAUGAGAGUUGGAAGGCUUCGAUUUCGUGAAUUGGAA
rnacentral:misc_RNA from 1 species